ncrna:Yersinia enterocolitica subsp. enterocolitica 8081 STAXI RNA
UGUUGCAUCGCGCAACAUGCCAAUGUCCUGGUGAUUUGAGAGGGACGCCUUCGGGUAAUCGCAUGCCAAUGUCACCUUAGCCUGAGAGGUGACGCCUUCGGGCGGUACCCUCGUUAACCUUUGAAAAUGGGGAUCGCAACAGAGUUGCGGUAAGGUCUCU